UUUUUAGUAUAAGUAUGUCUCCCAUAUUUUAUGGGCUAUACUUAUGCUAAAA
rnacentral:miRNA from 1 species